GAUGAACGCUAGCGGCAGGCCUAACACAUGCAAGUCGAGGGGUAGCAGGAUUAAGCUUGCUUAAUUGCUGACGACCGGCGCACGGGUGCGUAACGCGUAUGCAACCUACCUUAUACUGGGGUAUAGCCCGGAGAAAUUCGGAUUAAUCCCCCAUAGUACUAAUGAAUCGCAUGGUUUAUUAGUUAAAGCAUUGCGGUAUAAGAUGGGCAUGCGUCCUAUUAGCUAGAUGGUGAGGUAACGGCUCACCAUGGCUACGAUAGGUAGGGGGCCUGAGAGGGUGGUCCCCCACACUGGUACUGAGACACGGACCAGACUCCUACAGGAGGCAGCAGUGAGGAAGAUUGGUCAAUGGGCGCAAGCCUGAACCAGCCAUGCCGCGUGCAGGAAGAAUGCCCUAUGGGUUGUAAACUGCUUUUAUUUGGGAAUAAACCUCUUUACGUGUAGAGAGCUGAAGGUACCAAAUGAAUAAGCACCGGCUAACUCCGUGCCAGCCGCCGCAGUAA
rnacentral:rRNA from 1 species